rnacentral:sRNA from 1 species
UGAAGUUGUUGCCGGUGUCGCGGUGCUU